AGAGGCUUCGGCAAUGGGGGCAACCCUGACCGAGCGACGCCGCGUGUGUGAUGAAGGCCUUCGGGUCGUAAAGCACUGUCAGCAGGGAAGAAGGCUCGGGAGGCGUCCCUCCCGGGAUUGACGGUACCUGCAGAGGAAGCCCCGGCUACCUCCGUGCCAGCAGCCGCGGUAAUACGGAGGGGGCGAGCGUUAUUCGGAAUUAUUGGGCGUAAAGAGCACGUAGGCGGACGGGUAAGUCUGAUGUGAAAGCGCUACCGCUCAACGGAGCGUUGCCGUUGGAAACUACUCGUCUUGAGUGAGGCAGAGAUUGGUGGAAUUCCAGGUGUAGCGGUGGAAUGCGUAGAUAUCUGGAGGAACACCCGUGGCGAAGGCGACCAACUGCGCCUUUACUGACGCUGAGGUGCGAAAGCCAGGGGAGCAAAC
rnacentral:rRNA from 1 species